UACGUAGGGUGCAAGCGUUAAUCGGAAUGACUGGGCGUAAAGCGUGCGCAGGCGGCUCCUUAAGUCAGAUAUGAAAGCCCCGGGCUUAACCUGGGAACUGCGUUUGAAACUGGGGAGCUAGAGUGUGGAAGAGGGGGGUGGAAUUCCAGGUGUAGCAGUGAAAUGCGUAGAGAUCUGGAGGAACACCGAUGGCGAAGGCAGCCCCCUGGGCUAACACUGACGCUCAUGCACGAAAGCGUGGGGAGCAAACAGG
rnacentral:rRNA from 1 species